CCCUUAGAUGUUCUGGGCCGCACGCGCGCUACACUGACGAAUGCAACGAGCUUAUAACCUUGGCCGAAAGGUCUGGGUAAUCUCCAAAUUUCGUCGUGAUGGGGAUAGAUUAUUGCAAUUAUUAAUCUUCAACGAGGAAUGCCUAGUAAGCGCAAGUCAUCAGCUUGCAUUGAUUACGUCCCUGCCCUUUGUACACACCGCCCGUCGCACCUACCGAUUGAAUGGUCCGGUGAAGCCUCCGGAUUGGCGCGCACCUCGGUGCCGCCGAGAAGUUGGCUAACCUUACCAUUUAGAGGAAGGUGAAGUCGUAACA
rnacentral:rRNA from 1 species